CUCCCUAUGUAUUCAAGGCUGGUCUGGAUCUCCGUGCCUCUGUCUCCCACAUGUUGGGAUGACAGGCGUGACCCACAACUCCCAGCCCAUCUGUGUUCACUCCCCAGGCCGAGCUCUCCUGUCCACCUUCUCUCUCUACGCCUUUAGUGCUCCGACCCUACACUCUCUUUAAACAAGCAGGAAAAUGAAUAAACUAAUUCACAAUAA